AUACGGAGGGUGCAAGCGUUAUUCGGAAUCACUGGGCGUAAAGGACGCGUAGGCGGGUUGGCAAGUCAGAUGUGAAAUCCUACAGCUUAACUGUAGAACUGCAUUUGAAACUGCUAACCUAGAGUAUGGGAGGGGGAGAUGGAAUUAGUGGUGUAGGGGUAAAAUCCGUAGAUAUCACUAGGAAUACCGAAAGCGAAGGCGAUCUCCUGGAACAUAACUAACGCUAAGGCGUGAAAGCGUGGGGAGCAAACAGGAGUAGAUACCCUAGUAGUCC
rnacentral:rRNA from 1 species